rnacentral:rRNA from 1 species
UGCCAGCAGCCGCGGUAAUACGGAGGGUGCAAGCGUUGUUCGGAAUUACUGGGCGUAAAGCGCGCGUAGGCGGCUUUGUAAGUUGGAUGUGAAAGCCCCGGGCUUAACCUGGGAUGGUCAUUCAAAACUGCUUGACUAGAGUACAGUAGAGGGAAGUGGAAUUUCAGGUGUAGCGGUGAAAUGCGUAGAUAUCUGAAGGAACACCAGUGGCGAAGGCGGCUUCCUGGACUGAUACUGACACUGAGACGCGAAAGCGUGGGGAGCGAACAGGAUUAGAUA